UGAUGUUGUUCAAAGAUCAAGGUUGUUUGCUUGUAAUUGCAUGUUGACAACUUGAUUAGUAAAAAUAAUGCGUGGGUGGAUUUAUUUAGUGUGUGUUAGAUUCUUUUCCAUCACAAAUUACCAAAGUAAUCUACCCGAAAUAAAUGUUUAUGGAUUCUGUUACAUGUUAUAUAAGAGUACAUUUGGAAAAGAAAGCUAGGGCAGAAGUAGGUAGUGAUAUGGAGAUGGAUGUAGGUACUUCUGGAGGAGGUUUGGUUCCGGAACCUUAUAUGGGGGAUAAAUAAUAGGUUAGGGUUUAGAGUUUUUAUAGGCCUUUUUAAAAUAUUUUGAGCUUAAAGUUUGGCAACACAUUGGGUUUAGCACAUUUUAACUUACAAAUUGGGUUUAGAAAAUAAUACCCAAAACAAAUAAUUAAAUAAAAAAAUUAAUUUAAUUAAUUCGGUUCGGUUCGGUUUAGUUCGGUUUCUAGAUCACUAAAACCGAACCGAACCAAAAGAAUUCGGUUCGGUUCGGUUUUUUCAAUUCGGUUCGGUUUUUUUGUUCGGUUUGGUUUUUUCGGUUUCGGUUCGGUUUGGUUUUCGGUUUUUUUCGGUUUUCGGUUUUUUGAACCCACCCCUACAAGAUAUCACGUCACUAUGACUCUUACCAAUCAAAGUGAGUGUUAAAUUUUUGAGUAAAUUGUAGUAAUGGUUCCUCAACUUUAAUUAAAUUAGAGCAAUGAUCCAUCAACUAAAAAUUCAUUACCAUUGGCCCUUCAACUUAUCAAAAUAUGUAGCUAUAGUUAUUUUCAUCAAUUUCGUCAAAAUUUUGUCAAAAUAAGUUAUGUUGGAAUAACCAUUUAUAUAAUUAGGGUCCCUCAACUUAUCAAAAUGUGUAAUUAUGGUCAUUUUCAUCAACUACGUCAAAAAUUUUGUCAAAACGAGUUAUGUUGGAAGGACCAUUGCUACAAUUGGGUUAAAGUUAAUGGAUCGUUUCUCUAGUUGAAUUAAAGUUGAGGGACCAAUAGUAAUGAAUUUUUAGUUGAAUGACCAUAGCUGCACGUUUUGAUGGGUUGAGGGACCAAUGGUAAUGGAUUUUUAGUUGAGGGAUCAUUGCUCCAAUUGAGUUAAAGUUAAGGGAUCAUAGCUACAAUUUACUCUAAAUUUUUUUGAGAAGAGAUUUGGCUCCUUAAGUUUAAGGAGGAAUUUCUCUUACACUUUAUAAUCUAUUCAGAAUUUCGUACUUAUAAUUGAAAUUGUUCGUAUUAUAAAUUAUUAUAUCAAGAUCAUUGCAGUAAAAAAAUCAAUUAAAACUAUGACAUUUUAGAAAAUUAAUAGUAGCAAAUGGAUAGACAGUUUAUAAUUCUUUUACUAAAUCUAUCUACUCAUUUUUAUAAAGCUCGAUGACUUUACAAUCUUAGUUUUAGUUGAUUUUUUGUAGAGAUAAUUUUUACAUAUUGAUUUAUUAUAUGAACAGUUUCAAUCAUAAAUAUAAAGUUUUGUGAAUAUGUCAUGAGAUACUUUAAGAAGAAAAUUUUCCUCAAUUCUUGAAGAGCCAAGUCUUUCUUAAUUUUAUUGAUCUUUUCUCUCCUCUUAUAAACAAGUAGACUUUCCACGUUGAAGUAUCACACUCACAAACAAAAACGAUAAGUAAACACAAGUAUAUAUAUGUUGGACUCGCGUGUUGAUAUGCAUAAUCAAACUCAUGGACUAAUUUUUUUUUAAUGGACUGUUUUUUUUUUUUUUUUAAAUGGACAAUCGGUAGCAAGUUACGAUUAUCCAUUCAUUUCAGAAAUUAAAAAAACUCAUAGAGACAUUUCAGUCUUUCCUUAACCACGACUUCCACACCUGCGGGUUUCGAACAUGCGAGAUCUUGGCUUAGCGAAGCCCAAAUCCAUUCUCAAACAUAGCUAGCUGAUAGAGGAAUUGGCCCAACGUUAUUGGAUAAGGAAUGAUCUUGCAUGAUCAGCAAACGGGACAAGUCCCUAGAACAUGGCCGUGUCACAAGCCAUGAUAUCUGAUGCGGUUAACAGGCCUCCGUAAAAGAGUUGGAUUCUCUUCAUUUCUAUUCUCAUUAUCUUUCCUCUCAUUCUUUUAUAUUUUACUUUUUGUCUUAUUGUUUUUAUAACUAACGAAAAAUUCAAAAAAAAUUUAGUUUUAAUGUAAAAAGACAAAUAAAGGUGUAGUGAAUAGUACCAGGAAAAGAUAAAAAUAUGAUUUUUCGUUAAAAGUGAACAGUAUCGGAAGUGUUUCGUUAAAACUCCCUAAAAAAACCAAUAUAAGAUGUUGAUGUGACUUAUCCGUAACCGUUCAAGUAAGAAUAGAGGGAAGGGGAGAGAGAUUAGGAUAGGAGAUAAUCUUUCUCCCUCUAUACUUCUCCCUCCAUAAAUGGGAGUCUUAAUUGUUUCCCUUUGUCAUGUCUCUAAAGUCAAACGGCUAAAUGACUUAAUGGGCAAGAUAACGAGUCUUACCCUAACCAACCAGGACAUCACACGUAUUCUAAUGAAUCGUAUCAAACUCAAAUUUACCACUAUAUAAAGACAUGACAAUUGACCAUGAAAAGGUAAUUGUUUGUCUUUCACAAAACUAGAGUGUUCUUAUAUAUCCAUUCAUCAACUCUAACUUAGGCACCAUCAAAACCUUGGCUCACACCACAACAGUAUGACAAGAUCUAAC
rnacentral:lncRNA from 1 species